rnacentral:rRNA from 1 species
CCUACGGGUGGCAGCAGUGGGGAAUAUUGCACAAUGGACGAAAGUCUGACGCAGCAACGCCGCGUGAAGGAAGAAGGCUUUCGGGUUGUAAACUUCUUUUAAGAGGGAAGAGCAGUAGACGGUACCCAUUGACUAAGCCACGCUUAACUACGUGCCACAAGCCGCGGUAAUACGUAGGUGGCAGGCGUUGUCCGGAUUGACUGGGUGUAAAGGGCGGGCAGCCGGAGAGCAAAGUCAGAUGUGAAAUCUACGGGCUCAACCCGUGAACUGCAUUUGAUACUGUUAGCCGUGAGUGUCGGAGAGGUAGUCGGAAGUCGUGGUGUAGCGGUGAAAUGCGUAGAUAUAAGGAAGAACACCGGUGGCGAAGGCAGAUUACUGGACGGUAACUGACGGUGAGGCGCGAAAGUGUGGGGAGCAAACAGGAUUAGAUACCCUUGUAGUC